rnacentral:rRNA from 1 species
GACGAACGCUGGCGGCGUGCCUAAUACAUGCAAGUCGAACGCAGUGGGGACGAGUGAGUAAAACGUGGGUAACCUGCCAUAAGAGGGGAUAAAACUUGGAAACAGGUGCUAAAACCGAUAUUGAUGGAUGGACCCGCGGUGCAUUAGCUAGUUGGAGAGGUAACGGCUCACCAAGGCGACGAUGAAUAGCCGAUCUGAGAGUGUGAUCGGCCACACUGGGACGGAGACACGGCCCAGACUCCGACGGUAGGCAGCAGUAGGGAAUCUUCGGCAAUGGACGAAAGUCUGACCGAGCAACGCCGCGUGAAUGAAGAAGGUUUUCGGAUUGUAAAGCUCUGUUGUUAGAGAAGCGGUAUCUAACCAGAAAGCCACGGCUAACUACGUGCCAGCAGCCGCGGUAAUAC